ACGUCUGAUAAACAAGUUAAUAAACUAAAACUUUCAACAACGGAUCUCUUGGUUCUGGCAUCGAUGAAGAACGCAGCGAAAUGCGAUAAGUAAUGUGAAUUGCAGAAUUCAGUGAAUCAUCGAAUCUUUGAACGCACAUUGCGCCCCUUGGUAUUCCGG
rnacentral:rRNA from 1 species